UUUUCUUUUAACCUUUUCAAAAGAUCUGGGCUUUUUGUCUCCUUCUCCUCCCCCUCUUCUUCCACUUCCUGCUCCUCCUCCUCCUCCUAUUUCCUUAUUUCAUGGAUCACUCAGAAGUCACCUUUCCUUGCCUUUGCAGAAAAUAAGAUUUAACCAAAUCUAACAACAACAACAACAACAAAAGUCACACCAGGAUAUCAGGCUGUUCUAGAGUCAAAAGGGCCUUGAGGAAUCAGUAAACAGCAGAAUUCUUGCCUUUCUUUCCAGGAAAGAAAAAAAAAAAAAAGACCUUCACUUUAUCACUGUGUGGAAAUCACCUCAAAGCUAAAGAUGCAUGUAGCUGUGUGACUAGACAAGGGGGCUGCUGACUGGCAGGAAGUGCCCCAGCUGCCAGUUAUGCAAAUAGCGAGAGCUCUGUGUCUAGGAAGAAAACAGAGAGGUUUAGUAUGGCUGACUCAGAUCAUUUGUCUGAGGAGAAAUAAAAGGCUCACGAGUAGUUUAUGUGGUUUUUUUGUUUGUGUAUUUUUUUUUAAUCCACUCCUCCCUCUUGGUGCAAAGUUCAGGAUCAGGGAAAGAUCUCAGUAAAUGCUGAUUACACUGUAUUUUGUCGUUUGUAAACAUCAACCUUCUUAUGUAUAACUAAUGCAUAUUUUACGGUUUAUCUCGCACCUAACAUUCUUCAACCCCUUCAUUGUAUAGGAUUUAAAGUCUGGUCUUACAGCUGAAUUUAAUGACAAGACAAGCCAUUGAGGUUCUUUAUGUACUAUAGCCUGAGGCAGUGCUGCUUUUGAUUUAUUAGGGUCCUUUGCACACACACACCC
rnacentral:lncRNA from 1 species